AGUGGAAGCUUGCGGUGGCUCUCCAGUGACCAGAGGCAUAGUGAGGUCCCAGGGAGGCUCCCUCUGUCUUGCAACAGUUAUUUGUGAUCUUUUUCUAUGUGCCUAUUGUCACAACAGAGUCCGGCAGCGUCUUCUCUUGAGGGAGCAAUUUGGAGAAGAGCUGGAACCCAGACUCGCGCCCUGGAUGCCAUCCUUUAUCAUCCACAGCAAUCCCAUCUGACUGAUUCUUGCUAUUCCAAAUCCUCUUCCACGUUGACAGCCCUUCAGAUAUUUCAACACUCCUCUCAGCAUCCUCCACUUCCCCCAUCUCUCCAAGCUGAACUUGGUUCACAGGGUGGGAUUGUCUUCGAGAGCUGUGCCCAGGAGUGAACAACCAGCCCUACCUCUGUGAGAGUGGUCACUGCUGCGGGGAGACUGGCUGCUGCACCUACUACUAUGAGCUCUGGUGGUUCUGGCUGCUCUGGACUGUCCUCAUCCUCUUUAGCUGCUGUUGCGCCUUCCGCCACCGACGAGCUAAACUCAGGCUGCAACAACAGCAGCGGCAGCGUGAAAUCA
rnacentral:lncRNA from 10 species